rnacentral:tRNA from 1 species
GUAGCAUGGUGAUUACUUGCUAGCAGCUACUUUCACCUCAGAACCGAUGAAAAUAAAGCUAAUGCCUUCAAAUAU